rnacentral:tRNA from 1 species
GCCUGGGUGGCUCAGUUGGUUAAGCGUCUGAUUCUUGAUUACGGCUCAGGUUCGUGGGUAUCUCAUGGUUCGUGGGUUCGAGCCCCACCUGGGGCU